UACGGAGGGUGCGAGCGUUGUCCGGAAUCACUGGGCGUAAAGGGCGCGUAGGUGGCGGAGCAAGUCAACGGUGAAAGCUCGACGCUCAACGUCGAGUCGGCCGUCGAGACUGCUUGCUCGAGCACUGUAGAGGCAGAUGGAAUUCCGGGUGUAGCGGUGGAAUGGCGUAGAGAUCCGGAAGAACACCGGUGGCGAGGCGGU
rnacentral:rRNA from 1 species